GCCCUUGCCUGGGUGCCUUAGUUGGGAGAACACCCGCCUAUGGUGCGGUAGGAUUCGGGUUCGAGCCCCGGUAAAGGCA